CCUUUCUCCAACAGCCCCCCUUCACUUACGAAUCUCACACUCAGACUCAAGACACACUCAUUCACCCCAUCUGAAGCCCAAAACCUUAGCUUCCUCCUCAACAGUUCUGCCGCAUAGCCGCCGCCAUCCGCGUUCUCGGCGCCUCCGUGGCUUCUUCCUUCCCCCUUUCCGAACCCAAGCCCUCUCUUGUUGGCUGUAGCUCGACACGUCAUCCCCAUCGUCGCUGGCUUCUCUGUUCGACGGUUGGAGCAAGUCGUCGUCGUGUCGCCGCUCGCCGUCCGUCUCUCCGUCGAAGAUGAUGAUGAUGAUGGUAGCGUGUAUUCUCUGAUGCAGAAGACGGUGGUUCAAGCCAUUCUCAUUUCUAUUCAACACAUGGUGAUGGUGGUUCAACAUUUGAUUAUUGUAGCUUCUCAUGCGUCUCUGAUCUUGAAGUUGAUGCUGUUAUUCAUGAUUUUGGGAGGGGAAUUGUAGAAUUUGUCACAUGGGUUUAUGAUUUGUGAUUUUUGUCAUCUUUUGUUAUGCUAUUGUUGUUGUUACUUGUUAUGCUGCUGUUUUGUUAUGGCACUGUGAUUUUGUGAUUUCUGAAUCUGGCUGAAUUGGGAGUACUGUUUUGCAUACAUUGAUGAUCCUUGCAGUGCUACAUACCCUUUGAUGCAUAAGCUAAGUCAAGUUUUGGUGGAACAACCUUGGAGGAAGAAUUGCAGACCCUUUUGCCUAAAGAAGUAGAGGGUGCAAGAAUUGCAUAUGAGAAUGGACAAAGUGCGUUACCAAACAAGAUCAAGGAAUGCAGGUCCUAUCAACUGUACAAGUUUGUGAGGGAGGAGUUGGGGACUGAGAUGCUAACUGAUGAGAAGGUUAGGUCACUUGGUGAAGAAUGUGACAAAUUGUUCACAACAAUGUGCCAAGGGAAGAUCAUUGAUCCUCUUCUAGAGUGCAUUGCAGAGUGGAAUGGUGCUUCUCUUGCAUUAUGUUAGGUUUAAAGUUUUGUUUCAUCUUUUUCUUUCUAUGUUUGUAUUUUUUAUUAUAUUGCUAAGAAUUUGGUUUGUUUGUUAAGCAUGUGGGAAAUCAGAUGCAGAGAUUUGUUAAGCAUUAAGAGUGAGUGUGAUUGAUGAUGUAAUAGAUCAGAAUUUCUCAUUUGUUUGCCAUUGCUUUUUGGGCACAAAUACAAUACCCGGCCUUCUAUGUAAAGGAAGUUCUUUCACUUAAAUAAUGCUUCUAAGUUUUCAUG